rnacentral:rRNA from 1 species
UACGGGGGGAGCAAGCGUUGUUCGGAUUUACUGGGCGUAAAGGGCGCGUAGGCGGUCAGCACAAGUCAGCUGUGAAAUCUCCGGGCUUAACUCGGAAAGGUCAACUGAUACUGUGCGACUAGAGUGCGGAAGGGGCAACUGGAAUUCUCGGUGUAGCGGUGAAAUGCGUAGAUAUCGAGAGGAACACCUGCGGCGAAGGCGGGUUGCUGGGCCGACACUGACGCUGAGGAGCGAAAGCGUGGGGAGCAAACAGG